rnacentral:ncRNA from 1 species
CAUCGUGAGGUGGAAUCUGAAGGAAGUCCGCGGGCAAAUCUCUGGUCCGACGAACAGAAAUCACAUACAAGGCAUGAGGUAAGGAUGAGGCUGCACGACAAGUCAAAGUCCAAUAACUACUCGAAAUUAUUUCAUGUAAAUGUGGCGGAUAGAUGGAGAGGAAGAUU